rnacentral:rRNA from 1 species
GGUUAAGUGACUAAGCGUACAGGGCGGAUGCCUUGGCAAUCAGAGGCGAUGAAGGACGUGCUAAUCUGCGAAAAGCUUGGAUGAGUCGAUAAGAGGCGUUUAAUCCAAGAUAUCCGAAUGGGGAAACCCAGUAGAUGAAGAAUCUACUAUCAAUAAAUGAAUACAUAGUUUAUUGAGGCGAACCGGGAGAACUGAAACAUCUAAGUACCCCGAGGAAAAGAAAUCAACCGAGAUUCUGUGAGUAGCGGCGAGCGAAAGCGGAAGAGCCAGUAAGUUUUAGCUAGCGUAUUAGAGGAAUUGGCUGGGAAGCCAAAUCAAAGAGGGUGAUAAUCCCGUACUCGAAAGUAUGGUAGUGGAACUAAGCUUACGAUAAGUAAGGCGGGACACGAGAAAUCCUGUUUGAAGAUGGGGGGACCAUCCUCCAAGGCUAAAUACUCCUGAUUGACCGAUAGUGAACCAGUACUGUGAAGGAAAGGCGAAAAGAACCCCGGUGAGGGGAGUGAAAUAGAACCUGAAACCCUGUACGUACAAGCAGUAGGAGCGAGGGCAACCUUGUGACUGCGUACCUUUUGUAUAAUGGGUCAGCGACUUAUAUUUUGUAGCGAGGUUAACUGAAUAAGGGAGCCGAAGGGAAACCGAGUCUUAACUGGGCGUUGAGUUGCAAGGUAUAGACCCGAAACCCGGUGAUCUAGCCAUGGGCAGGUUGAAGGUUGGGUAACACUAACUGGAGGACCGAACCGACUAAUGUUGAAAAAUUAGCGGAUGACUUGUGGCUGGGGGUGAAAGGCCAAUCAAACCGGGAGAUAGCUGGUUCUCCCCGAAAUCUAUUUAGGUAGAGCCUUGAGCGGACACCUUCGGGGGUAGAGCACUGUUUCGGCUAGGGGUCCAUCCCGGAUUACCAACCCGAUGCAAACUGCGAAUACCGAAGAGUGAUACUCAGGAGACACACGGCGGGUGCUAACGUUCGUCGUGGAGAGGGAAACAACCCAGACCGCCAGCUAAGGUCCCGAAGUCUAUAUUAAGUGGGAAACGAAGUGGGAAGGCUUAGACAGCUAGGAUGUUGGCUUAGAAGCAGCCAUCAUUUAAAGAAAGCGUAAUAGCUCACUAGUCGAGUCGGCCUGCGCGGAAGAUGUAACGGGGCUCAAAUAUAGCACCGAAGCUGCGGCAUCAGAAUUUAUUCUGUUGGGUAGGGGAGCGUUGUGUAAGCGGAUGAAGGUGGCUCGAGAGGGUUGCUGGACGUAUCACAAGUGCGAAUGCUGACAUAAGUAACGAUAAAACGAGUGAAAAACUCGUUCGCCGGAAGACCAAGGGUUCCUGUCCAACGUUAAUCGGGGCAGGGUGAGUCGGCCCCUAAGGCGAGGCUGAAAAGCGUAGUCGAUGGGAAACGGGUUAAUAUUCCCGUACUUGGUAAAGCUGCGAUGUGGGGACGGAGAAGGUUAGGUAAGCGGACUGUUGGAUAUGUUCGUUUAAGCAGGUAGUUGGAAAGGGUAGGCAAAUCCGCUCUUUCAUACAACAACGAGACGUGAUGACGAGGCUCUACGGAGCUGAAGUUACCGAUACCCGGCUUCCAGGAAAAGCCACUAAGCGAAAGGCUUUACUAAACCGUACUGAAAACCGACACAGGUGGUCAGGUAGAGAAUACUCAGGCGCUUGAGAGAACUCGGGUGAAGGAACUAGGCAAAAUAGCACCGUAACUUCGGGAGAAGGUGCGCUUACAGUAAUUGUAGUCCCUUGCGGAUGAAGGUGAAGUAAGUCGAAGAUACCAGCUGGCUGCAACUGUUUAUUAAAAACACAGCACUCUGCAAACACGAAAGUGGACGUAUAGGGUGUGAUGCCUGCCCGGUGCUGGAAGGUUAAUUGAUGGUGUUAUCGAAAGAGAAGCUCCUGAUCGAAGCCCCAGUAAACGGCGGCCGUAACUAUAACGGUCCUAAGGUAGCGAAAUUCCUUGUCGGGUAAGUUCCGACCUGCACGAAUGGCAUAAUGAUGGCCAGGCUGUCUCCACCCGAGACUCAGUGAAAUUGAAAUCGCCGUGAAGAUGCGGUGUACCCGCGGCUAGACGGAAAGACCCCGUGAACCUUUACUAUAGCUUGACACUGAACAUUGAAUUUUGAUGUGUAGGAUAGGUGGGAGCCUUUGAAGCAGUGACGCCAGUCAUUGUGGAGGCGACCUUGAAAUACCACCCUUUAACGUUUGAUGUUCUAACGAAGUGCCUGAAACGGGUACUCGGACAGUGUCUGGUGGGUAGUUUGACUGGGGCGGUCUCCUCCCAAAGCGUAACGGAGGAGCACGAAGGUUUGCUAAUGACGGUCGGACAUCGUCAGGUUAGUGCAAUGGUAUAAGCAAGCUUAACUGCGAGACAGACAAGUCGAGCAGGUGCGAAAGCAGGUCAUAGUGAUCCGGUGGUUCUGAAUGGAAGGGCCAUCGCUCAACGGAUAAAAGGUACUCCGGGGAUAACAGGCUGAUACCGCCCAAGAGUUCAUAUCGACGGCGGUGUUUGGCACCUCGAUGUCGGCUCAUCACAUCCUGGGGCUGAAGUAGGUCCCAAGGGUAUGGCUGUUCGCCAUUUAAAGUGGUACGCGAGCUGGGUUUAGAACGUCGUGAGACAGUUCGGUCCCUAUCUGCCGUGGGCGUUGGAUGAUUGAUUGGGGCUGCUCCUAGUACGAGAGGACCGGAGUGGACGCAUCACUGGUGUUCCAGUUGUCUCGCCAGAGGCAUUGCUGGGUAGCUAAAUGCGGAAGAGAUAAGUGCUGAAAGCAUCUAAGCACGAAACUUGCCAAGAGAUGAGUCAUCCCUGACUUUAAGUCAGUAAGGGUUGUUGUAGACGACGACGUAGAUAGGUUGGGUGUGUAAGUGUAGUGAUACAUUGAGCUAACCAAUACUAAUUGCCCGAGAGGCUUAACCAU